GUUCUUUUGUUUUUAAUAUAAGAUCGGGCCUGCCCAUUGAUUAUAAAUAUUAAAAGGCUGCGGUAUUUUAACUGUACGAAGGUAGCAUAAUCAUUUGUCUUUUAAUUGGAGGCUAGAAUGAAUGGUUUGAUGAGAAAUAGCCUUUCUUUAUAUAAUUAAUUUGAAUUUAAUUUUUUAGUUAAAAAGCUAAAAUUUCUUUAUAGGACGAGAAGACCCUAUAGAGGUUUACUAAUUUUAUAAAUUAUAUCUUUUCGUUUAUCAAUUUGUUUUUUAGAAAAAUUAGUUUUGUUGGGGUGACAGUGAAAUUUUAUAAACUUUCAUUACUUUUUUUAUUAAUUUAUAUUUUUUUGAUCCGAAAUUUUCGAUUAUAAGAUUAACCUACCUUAGGGAUAACAGCGUAAUCUUUUUGGAGAGUUCAUAUCGAUGAAAAGGUUUGCGA
rnacentral:rRNA from 1 species